CUUGCUUCUCUUGAGAGCGGCGGACGGGUGAGUAAUGCCUAGGAAUCUGCCUGGUAGUGGGGGAUAACGUUCGGAAACGGACGCUAAUACCGCAUACGUCCUACGGGAGAAAGCAGGGGACCUUCGGGCCUUGCGCUAUCAGAUGAGCCUAGGUCGGAUUAGCUAGUUGGUGGGGUAAUGGCUCACCAAGGCGACGAUCCGUAACUGGUCUGAGAGGAUGAUCAGUCACACUGGAACUGAGACACGGUCCAGACUCCUACGGGAGGCAGCAGUGGGGAAUAUUGGACAAUGGGCGAAAGCCUGAUCCAGCCAUGCCGCGUGUGUGAAGAAGGUCUUCGGAUUGUAAAGCACUUUAAGUUGGGAGGAAGGGUUGUAGAUUAAUACUCUGCAAUUUUGACGUUACCGACAGAAUAAGCACCGGCUAACUCUGUGCCAGCAGCCGCGGUAAUACAGAGGGUGCAAGCGUUAAUCGGAAUUACUGGGCGUAAAGCGCGCGUAGGUGGUUUGUUAAGUUGGAUGUGAAAUCCCCGGGCUCAACCUGGGAACUGCAUUCAAAACUGACUGACUAGAGUAUGGUAGAGGGUGGUGGAAUUUCCUGUGUAGCGGUGAAAUGCGUAGAUAUAGGAAGGAACACCAGUG
rnacentral:rRNA from 1 species